GAUCUUUUUGAAGGUGAUGAUGAUGAUGAUCUAAUGGAGGAUGGGGUUUGGGACGUUGUUUUUGGAGGUGGGGUGGUUGAAGUGGAAAUGGGUUGUGUAGUUUUUGUUGU